rnacentral:rRNA from 1 species
UACAGAGGUCUCAAGCGUUGUUCGGAUUCAUUGGGCGUAAAGGAUGCGUAGGUGGCGCCGUAAGUCAGGUGUGAAAUUUCGGAGCUUAACUCCGAAACUGCAUUUGAUACUGCGGUGCUUGAGGACUGGAGAGGAGACUGGAAUUUACGGUGUAGCAGUGAAAUGCGUAGAGAUCGUAAGGAAGACCAGUGGCGAAGGCGGGUCUCUGGACAGUUCCUGACACUGAGGCACGAAGGCCAGGGGAGCAAACGGG